rnacentral:rRNA from 1 species
GAUGAACGCUGGCGGUAUGCUUAACACAUGCAAGUCGAACGGUCACUUCGGUGAUAGUGGCGGACGGGUGAGUAACGCGUGAGAAUCUGUCUUCAGGUCGGGGACAACAGUUAGAAAUGACUGCUAAUACCGGAUGUGCCUUUGGGUGAAAGAUUUAUUGCCUGAAAAAGAGCUCGCGUCAGAUUAGCUAGUAGGUGGUGUAAGAGACUACCUAGGCUCCGAUCUGUAGCUGGUCUGAGAGGACGAUCAGCCACACUGGAACUGAGACACGGUCCAGACUCCUACGGGAGGCAGCAGUGGGGAAUUUUCCGCAAUGGGCGAAAGCCUGACGGAGCAAUACCGCGUGAGAGACGAAGACUUUUGGGUCGUAAACCUCUUUUCUCAAGGAAGAUGAUGACGGUACUUGAGGAAUAAGCAUCGGCUAACUCUGUG